GACGAACGCUGGCGGCGUGCCUAAUACAUGCAAGUCGAACGCUUCUUUCCUCCCGAGUGCUUGCACUCAAUUGGAAAGAGGAGUGGCGGACGGGUGAGUAACACGUGGGUAACCUACCCAUCAGAGGGGGAUAACACUUGGAAACAGGUGCUAAUACCGCAUAACAGUUUAUGCCGCAUGGCAUAAGAGUGAAAGGCGCUUUCGGGUGUCGCUGAUUGAUGGACCCGCGGUGCAUUAGCUAGUUGGUGAGGUAACGGCUCACCAAGGCCACGAUGCAUAGCCGACCUGAGAGGGGGAUCGGCCACACAGGGACUGAGACACGGCCCAGACUCCUACGGGAGGCAGCAGUAGGGAAUCUUCGGCAAUGGACGAAAGUCUGACCGAGCAACGCCGCGUGAGUGAAGAAGGUUUUCGGAUCGUAAAACGCUGUUGUUAGAGAAGAACAAGGACGUUAGUAACUGAACGUCCCCGGACGGUAUCUAACCAGAAAGACACGGCUAACUACGU
rnacentral:rRNA from 1 species